AACCAACAGGGAUUGCCUUAGUAGCGGCGAGUGAAGCGGCAAAAGCUCAAAUUUGAAAUCUGGCACUUUCAGUGUCCGAGUUGUAAUUUGAAGAAGGUAUCUUUGGGUCUGGCUCUUGUCUAUGUUUCUUGGAACAGAACGUCACAGAGGGUGAGAAUCCCGUGCGAUGAGAUGUCCCAGACCUAUGUAAAGUUCCUUCGAAGAGUCGAGUUGUUUGGGAAUGCAGCUCUAAGUGGGUGGUAAAUUCCAUCUAAAGCUAAAUAUUGGCGAGAGACCGAUAGCGAACAAGUACAGUGAUGGAAAGAUGAAAAGAACUUUGAAAAGAGAGUGAAAAAGUACGUGAAAUUGUUGAAAGGGAAGGGCUUGAGAUCAGACUUGGUAUUUUGUAUGUUACUCUCUCGGGGGUGGCCUCUACAGUUUACCGGGCCAGCAUCAGUUUGGGCGGUAGGACAAUUGCAAAGAAAUGUGGCACUGCCUCGGUAGUGUGUUAUAGUCUUUGUCGAUACUGCCAGCCUAGACUGAGGACUGCGGCUUCGGCCUAGGAUGUUGGCAUAAUGAUCUUAAGUCGCCC
rnacentral:rRNA from 1 species